UCAACUGACACAAGGACAAAUAAAUGUGGCAGAAGGUUCAUAUCCGUCAGAAAAAAAUGCUCCGUUAAUAGAGUACCUUACAUUACCAUUCGCAAGGCGCUCCUUUUCGCAAAUGCAGACGGAAAAAACCUUUAUGGAAGCCUGAUGUUGUCCAAAGAAGGAAGACAGGAUGGAUACCUAUUUUGGAGUGUAUAAGGAGACAAAACCCAUGUCGAUUGCUUGGCUUA